CCGUAGUAAGCAUUAAUAAUGUCUUUCAUCUUUGAGUGGCUCUACAAUGGCUUCAGCAGUGUGCUCCAGUUCCUAGGACUCUACAGGAAAUCUGGAAAACUUGUAUUCUUGGGUUUGGACAACGCGGGCAAAACCACUCUUCUUCACAUGCUCAAAGAUGGCCGACUGGGCCAGCACGUUCCAACGCUGCGUCCGACGUCGGAAGAGCUGACAGUUGCCGGGAUGACUUUUACAACUUUCGAUCUCGGUGGACAUGAGCAAGCACGUCGGGUUUGGAAAAAUUAUCUCCCAGCAAUUAAUGGGAUUGUCUUUCUGGUGGACUGUGCAGAUCGUUCGCGCCUCAUGGAAUCCAAAGUUGAGCUGGAUGCGUUAAUGACUGAUGAAACGAUAUCCGACGUGCCGAUCCUUAUCUUGGGUAACAAAAUUGACAGAACAGGUGCAGUCAGUGAAGAAAAACUCCGUGAGGUAUUUGGGCUUUAUGGACAGACCACAGGAAAGGGGAGCGUGACCCUGAAGGAGCUGAAUGCCCGCCCCACGGAAGUGUUCAUGUGCAGUGUGCUCAAGAGGCAAGGCUAUGGCGAGGGUUUCCGCUGGCUCUCCCAGUAUAUUGACUGAUGUUUGCACCGUGAAAAUAAAAGAGCUUUACUUCUCUGGUCUGAUCCUAUUCACAGCUUUCGAGUGAACUUUUCUAAUAGAACAAGGAAAGCUCUCCAACCAAGUCUGGCGUAGAGAAGCCAAGAGCCUUAGUCAGCUCUCCCAUCGCCCAGUGGUGACAUGUGCUCUUCUCCACACUGUUGGGAGGUAACGCUGCCCCGUGCGCAGGCGCAGGUCGGGAUCCCCGGACUUGGAAACUGGUAGAAUUUGCCGGCUAAAACUGUGUGCCAUCGUGGGGCAGCUGAAAAGAAAAACACGUCUCACCACUGUGGUUGAUUUCAAAGAAAGUGAUUGUGUUUUUUUUUAAAGAAAGUGUUAUUAAUGAAAUCGGUAUCUCUCUUAACUUUUUGAGUUCACAAUUUACUUGGUCUAGAGUUUUCUAUUCUUUUUUUUUUUUUUAACUGAUGAAUAGCGUUUAGAUACUUCAUAAAAUUAUGAACAGAUACACAUGGGAGGCCAUGGCUCAGGUGGGUGAACUGAACGCCUGCUGAGUUAGCAGGUGGGGGAGAGAAGCUCCCCUGAGCUCACCUAUCUCUAUGACUGCCUUGUAGUCAGUGGCAUCACUUUGUGCACAGAGAACUAAAAGGGGGCAGAACCCCGGCCGUGGAGUUGCGGCAGGUUUCCACUGUGGUAAGGUCAUCACAGAAUGUGUAGUAGAUAGUUCACUGUGGAGGAGUGAAUUAUAGAGUGGGUUAUUGUUAUCGUUUUUACUUAUAAAGUUAUAAAUUUG